rnacentral:rRNA from 1 species
GACGAACGCUGGCGGCGUGCUUAACACAUGCAAGUCGAGCGGUAAGGCCCUUUUGGGGGUACACGAGCGGCGAACGGGUGAGUAACACGUGGGUGACCUGCCCUCAGCUCUGGGAUAAGCCUGGGAAACUGGGUCUAAUACUGGAUAUGACCUUUCCUCGCAUGGGGGUUGGGUGGAAAGUUUUUCGGCUGGGGAUGGGCCCGCGGCCUAUCAGCUUGUUGGUGGGGUGAUGGCCUACCAAGGCGACGACGGGUAGCCGGCCUGAGAGGGCGACCGGCCACACUGGGACUGAGACACGGCCCAGACUCCUACGGGAGGCAGCAGUGGGGAAGUAUUGCGCAAUGGGCGGAAGCCUGACGCAGCGACGCCGCGUGGGGAUGAC